rnacentral:pre_miRNA from 1 species
ACAGGGCUCUGACCUAUGAAUUGACAGCCAGUGAUCUUGUCUCCCCUCUGGCUGCCAAUUGCAUAGGUCACAGGUAUGU